CAGCAACACCUCAACAGCAACGAGCACACCUGCUACCUAGAACCUGGUUUCUAAAAACCAUCCUCCUCUAAAAGAAAACAGGGCUCUUUGAAGAAAUG
rnacentral:lncRNA from 1 species